CUUCUUCUUUAAUUAAUAUUCCAACCUCCUUCCUUGUUGGGUUGUUUGAGACUUUAAUGCUUCUUCGUUAAUGCACUCACUCACCCAUUUGGAUCUUCCCUUUGCCUUCUUAAACAUUUCCUCUGUUUCUCUCACUUUGAAUCUCUCUCUCUCUAUCUCUCUCUCUCUAGAAAAAGGAAGGCAGUGUCUCUUUGUGUUGUUACUGAGACAUUGUGGUCUUGCAGGAGACAAACUUUUCCAGGUGGAAUUCCGCUGUCUCUGUCUACUCAGAAUUCCCAUAUUCAUGGAUUUCUGCUACCAAUUUUGGUUCCACCAUUCUGCCUUGAGCUGGCAAUGCAGAGAACCAGAACAGAAUGUAAUCUACUGUUUACUUGGAGAAUUUCCUUUUUAUGGCAAAGCUGAUCUUUUUUGCCGUCCUGAUUUAUCAUUUUUCAUUGCGUCGAACGAAACAUUCUUGUUAAGAGUGUACAACUUCUUUCGAGUAGACACGUUUCAAAACUGUGAAGCUGACAACGAUACGUAACG